AAGGCAGCUACACGGCGACGUGAUGCUAAUCCCCAAAACCUCUCUCAGUUCGGAUUGGAGUCUGCAACCCGACUCCAUGAAGCUGGAUUCGCUAGUAAUCGCGCAUCAGCCACGGCGCGGUGAAUACGUUCCCGGGCCUUGUACACACCGCCCGUCAAGCCAUGAAAGCCGGGGGUACCUGAAGUCCGUAACCGUAAGGAGCGGCCUAGGGUAAAACUGGUAAUUGGGGCUAAGUCGUAACAAGGUACC
rnacentral:rRNA from 1 species